rnacentral:lncRNA from 1 species
GCGAUCAGGGCUUGAGGAACCCGCGCCAUGAAGUGCGUGUUUGUUACCGUAGGGACCACCAGCUUUGACGACCUCAUUGCGUGUGUGUCGGCGCCCGACAGUCUGCAAGUGAGUGAGGGAGGCGAGCAGGCGGCGGCUUGGCUCGCCACCCGCCAUCUCCGGCCAUACUGCCAGCCGCGUUAGCCUUGCCUGACCGUCGCGCUCGGAAAGAAACCCCCGCAACUCUACCACAGGUACAAGGAUUCCUUGAAAGAAGACAUUCAGAAAGCAGAUCUUGUUAUUAGUCACGCAGGUGCAGGAAGCUGUUUGGAGACUCUGGAAAAAGGAAAGCCACUCGUAGUGGUUAUAAACGAAAAGUUGAUGAACAAUCAUCAGCUGGAACUGGCAAAGCAGCUACACAAAGAGGGUCAUCUCUUCUAUUGUACCUGCAGCACGCUUCCUGGGCUGUUACAGUCAAUGGACUUAUCAACACUGAAAUGUUAUCCUCCUGGCCAGCCAGAAAAAUUUUCUGCAUUUUUGGAUAAAGUUGUUGGAUUACAAAAAUAAACACUAAACUCUCAACACUUUAAAAGCAACCCCCAAAUUCAACCUAUGUAAUGUGAUUAAAUCAAAUUAAAUACAUAAUAUAUAUUUACAAAAUAAUAUAAUUAAUAAACUUCCUACAUCUAUAGAAUGUAUA